UUUUUUACAUUAACCUGACUUAAUUGUUUGGCUUUAGUUAUGUCAACUUACUUUCAUGAGUUCAAUUAACUUAAAAGACACACAUUUCAUCUAAAACAAACGGUUAACUUUGAGUUGACGUGAACCAAUUAAGUUGAAUGCAGUUUUACGUCUGACGUCAUUACGCAAGCUUUGCCCGAGACAGAUCCACUUCUUGUACCGACCGCUUGUGCAGCCGCCAUUUCUUCUGACCAUCGACUGUCCACCGGAUUGUAAAACAGCCUGGAGCCAAGCAUCAUCAGACCAUAGAAGAUUGCCAUGGCAAGUUCAAAACCUGCAAGACUGAAGGUGAUUCUAGGAGAGAGCAACACUGAAAAACUGACUCUUUCAAAUGGCAUACCAGAUUCUCUGGAUGAUCUUCUCAGCAAGGUGAAGGAUACCUUUGGUUUAAAGACCAACAUCAGACUGCAAUAUAUGGACAAAGACUUUGGUAAUGACUUCUUCAACCUCAGCUCAACUUCUGACCUUGUGGACUUGGGAACAGUCAAGGUGAUUCAAGAAGAAGCAGUUCAACCUUUUGUUGAUGUCAUUGAAACAGCUCCAUCUUCUUCUGCAGUUCACUCAGAUGACAGCAGUUCUUUAGCUUCAAAUGACACUAUACUCCUCUCCUCCCCUGAAUCCUUCUCAUCGCGAACAAAACAAUGGCCAGCCAACUUUCCCAUUCCCAUGUUUUCGUAUGACACUGAACGUCAGCUACAGAAGGGGAAUUCUGAGUAUCAGGCAAAAAACAAAAUAUUGACAGUCACCCCACGAAUGAAGACUGACAUCCUAAAUAGAUUAGUAGAAGAGAUCUACAGAUACAGAGCCUAUCCAGAGGACGCACAGUUCUGUGUAGUUGCAGAGGCCUUGAUUAAAAAACAUCCAUGUUUAAAAGAGCCUGGUUCAUUCAAUGGUUGCUACGGUUGGAAACAAAGGCUGAAGUACAAAAUGGGAAACUACAGGACUCUACUCAAG